rnacentral:snoRNA from 1 species
CACUUUGAUGACUAAACGCUGUGCACCAGUCAGAAUACUCAUAAAUGAUCGAUCCAGUAAACCCAUUGCCUGAGA